CGACGCCAGUCGGCGCUGGCGUAGCUCGGCUCAGCCCGGCGGAGUCUGACUUCCGGAGGGCCAGCGGCGCGCUGGCUGGUUACCAAGGUUACCGCCGAGAGGCCGCGUCCUCAGCUGGUCCUAGACAUGCGUGGCGUCGGGGCUGUGGCACGGUCGGGUCCGGGCUUGAAUGCACCAAGGAAAGGCCAUUUGUGGGGACAUAGCAAGAAGGCAGCUGUCUGCAAGCCAGGAGGAGAACCCUCACCAGAAACCUCACAGAAAUCGGCCAACACCCUCAUCUCGGGCUUCCAGCUUCAGAACAACGAGAAAACAAAUUUCUGUUGUGUCCUGGUUCCCAUUUGUAAUUGGCACCCUAAUGAAACCGUUUUCUGUAGCCCUGGAAAUGGCUGAAAAUGAGGGGAGGGAAAUAAAGUGCUAUAAUUCAGAGCAUGGAGCACACCUUCCUGGUUCACCUGAGCUGGAUUCGGAGAGGUAAAAUGGCCAUUACCUCGUCUAAGCUGCCACUUACAGACACAGUACAGGAUGAGGCCCAGACCCACAGAGACAACGAUGAUGGCCACAGCUAAGAUGAUCCAGAAAUUAUUCCUCCACCAGCUCAUUGCAGUGGAAUCCUGAGAAGAAUGGAGAGAGAAGAAUGAGGUAUGAAUGAAAGAUAUCCUGGGGUUGGGUGGAGUGGGGCAGUUAUCUACUGUGGGUUGUUUUUUUUUUCUUUUCUGAGUCGGAGUCUCACUCUGUCGCCCAGGCUGGAGUGCAAUGACGUGAUCUCAGCUCUCAGCUCACUGCAACCUCCACCUCCCGGGUUCAAGUGAUUCUCCUGCCUCAGCCUCCAGAGUAACGGGGACUACAGGCACCUGCCACCACGCCUGGCUAAUUUUUGUAUUUUUAGUAGAGAUGGGGUUUCGCCACGUUGGCCAGGCUGGUCUGGAACUCCUGACCUCAGGUGAUUCACCUGUCUUGGCCUCCCAAAGUACUGGGAUUACAGACAUGAGCCACCGUGCCCAGCUAAUCUACUGUGUUGUGUAGAGAUGCAGACAUCUGCUUAGGAAUCAGGCACUGGAUCACAGCCAUACCCUACUCAUUAACACCUGGGGGACCUCAGGCAUGUCACUCGACCUUCUGUGAGCCUCAUCUAUAAUAUGGGAAUGAUAUCUCCUACUUCACUGAGGUUUGUGAGGACUGGAGAUCGAACAUGUACCUACUGGGCCCUCUAGAAAUGGUAGACAUCAUCACUGCUCUUUCAGACAUGCAGCAGGAGGGGGAAGGUGCCAUUUAAAGCAAUAAUUGACUGCAGGGUUGUUUUUUUUCUUGAGACGGAGUCUCGCUCUGUAACUCAGGCUGGAGUGCAGUGGCGCGAUCUGGGCUCUCUGCAAACUCUGCUUCCUGGGUUCACAUCAUUCUCCUGCCUCAGCCUCCCGAGUAGCUGGGACUACAGGCGCCCACGACCACGCCCGGCUGAUUUUUUUGUAUUUUUUUAGUAGAGACGGGGUUUCACCGUGUUAGCCAGGAUAGUCUCGAUCUCCUGACCUCGUGAUCUGCCUGCCUCGGCCUCCCAAAGUGCUGGGAUUACAGGCGUGAGCCACUGCACCAGGCCAGUUUUUUUGUUUGUUUGUUUGUUUGUUUGUUUGUUUGUUUUUUGAGACAGAGGCUUGCUCUGUCGCCCAGGCUGGAGUGCAGUGGCGCGAUCUUGGCUCACUGCAACCUCUGCCUCCCAAGCAAUUCUCCUGCCUCAGCCUCCUGAGUAGCUGGGAUUAAAGGUGUGUGCCACCUCGCCUGGCUAAUUUUUAUAUUUUUAGUAGAGACGGGGUUUCAUCAUGUUGGCCAAGCUAGUCUCGAACUCCUGACCUUGUGAUCUACCUGCCUCGGCCUCCCAAAGUGCUAGGAUUAUAGGUGCAAGCCACCAUGCCCAGCCAGUUGUUUUUAAUCACAAGGACAAGUCAGACUUAAUGCAUAGCAGGGGAGAGAAAUUUUGAGAGCUUUUGUUUGAGUUGAGGGUUAGAAAAAUAGCUGGAUGGGUCUCUUUGAGUGAGUUAUGGUCAGAAGGGUGAAGCUGAAGAUACAGGGCAAACUGAGUUGAUCUGCAUGAGAGAGUUAACAGGCAUUUGGGGGCUGGAAGCUGACAGACCAGAGACCGGGAAAGUCUCGGAAAAGGUUAGCAGCAGAGUGAGAGGUCAAGAAGAGAGCACAAGUCAGAUCCUGGUUAGGAAGCUCCCAUAGUGGCAAAUGACCAAGGCGUUUCUAGGACAGUAAUGCCUCAUGUCCAGCCUUAAAUUGCUACCUAG
rnacentral:lncRNA from 10 species